CAGCACAAAGCCCAAAACCUGGGUGUGCUUCCAAGUGCAGGCUGAAUACUCAUAGCUGGGUAGGCUGCUAAUCACUUGGUGGAAACAUUUCUCAAUUAUGCAACAGGCAGCCUUAAAUAACCUCCUAGGAAAAAAAAAAAAAAAACCAAAAACAAACCAAAACAACACUUCUUCCUUCUUGAGGCGCUACCUUCUUAAAGAGACAGAGAAGCACUGAGAGACAGCAGAGGCAGGCAGCCACCAUGAAGUCCUGUGGGCUUCACAGGGUGGCCGUGCUGUGAGUGGGGGACCAUGGUUUGGGACAGACCAGGACAGCUGCUGGUCACAGAGCAACGUGCUUGUUUGCAGAGGGGAAAGUGAAAUGCAGCAGGCAGGCAGCUGGCCAAGCAGGCAGGAGGAGGCUGUCACAAGCAAAGGGGAGACAAAAAAAUGGCUAAAAGAGGAACUGGGGAGGACAAUCCACCCACAAGGAAACUUUUCUUAGCUGGCAGUGUGAUGGCUCUCUCACUGCAUGGUGGCUGCCCUGUUGCCCUGGCUGGCUCAGGGUCCUCAGCACACCCAGCCCCAUCCCAGCACAGGCAGAUGGAAACAAGCCUCUGCAACUGGAAAGCACAGAGGUAGAGACAUCAGGACACCAAAGUAGAUGGGAGACAACGCACAUAGCAAAGCUGUGGAGAUCCAGCAGCCCCUGGAAGAUGGUGCGGUGGUGGCAACUGAAGGCAUCCUUUGAGGACAUCAGCUGGGUGUGCUUGGUGUGCUGCUCCAGCCAAAGGCCUGCAGCCCAUCUGGUGCUUUCUGGAAGCAAUGUCUUUGGAAAUUGAUGGAAGUACCUGUGACAGUUUGGAAAAAUAUGGCUAAGUUUUCAUGUUGCUUGGAGACACGCAGCUGGAGAUAAGAGCUGUAUCUAAAACAACUCGUCCUGAAAUAAAGAACAGCUGAGACUUACGUACAUGCAUUUCACCUUCAGGUACACAGACAUGUGAAAAGCACCUAGGUAAAGCAUCUGAGGAACACGAACUAUUUUCACAUGGGAAAGGAAGAGGUUGCAUGAAUCAUGAUGUACUUCCAACAUAGAUUGUACAGCAGUGAGGUUUUAGGGAGGCGAGAUGUCAUGUAAAAAAUUGGCAGAAUUUGCUUUUAAAACACGUCUGUGGAAAUGCAAUACUUUGAACAAUAACAAAAAGUGUCAGAAGUCAGAAUAAACCAUUUUGUUUAGCAAAAUAGCUGCACAAUCUACAUAACCCGGUCUUAUGAUGACAAGCCACAUGAAAUCUGUGCAGACAAGCCAUCAGCAGUGGGUAGUUUCCCUGUGUCUCACUGACAAGGGGUGGGGAGGAGUAUGCGUAAUUAGUACCCGGGGAAAAGUAGGGGACAUCUGUUAAAGCAAUCCCUCAUUACUCUCAAGUGGGUAUUGAUCAAAUUAAAUAAAAAAUGCUAUUGUACUCAUAUUCCUCUGGACAGAAGAAUCUGGAGAUGAUCCAAGCAGAUGUAGUAGAGGAGCUGCUAGGUAGUUUGGUGGUGCAGCAUCCCACCCACUAUUGCAUGCCUGGAGGGGUGGAAGAGGUGGGACCCUCUGCUGAGACAAGCUGUACUGGCAGUACUCAAAAAGGACAGACUCGUCCAGUCUGGGGAUUGAAACUUUCCAAAGCCCAGCAGUAGGUGCCAGAAGACAGGGUGGUUUACACGUUUUGAACAUAGGGACACCCUUCUGCACCAGGUAAGGGAUGAUGCGGUCAUUAUUUACCACCCUUAUGAAGAAAGCAUCAGUGCAGAUAUGAGUGAACAAGUUUACAUAUGCACAUUGAAUCUGCUUGCACCAGUGACAGCUUUGC